rnacentral:rRNA from 1 species
UACGAAGGGGGCUAGCGUUGUUCGGAAUCACUGGGCGUAAAGCGCAUGUAGGCGGGUCUUUAAGUCAGGGGUGAAAUGCCAAGGCUCAACCUUGGAACUGCCUUUGAUACUGGAGACCUUGAGUUCGGGAGAGGUGAGUGGAACUGCGAGUGUAGAGGUGAAAUUCGUAGAUAUUCGCAAGAACACCAGUGGCGAAGGCGGCUCACUGGCCCGAUACUGACGCUGAGGCACGAAAGCGUGGGGAGCAAACAGG